GACGAACGCUGGCGGCGCGCUUAACACAUGCAAGUCGAACGGAAAGGCCUGCUUUCCCUUGUGGUUUGCGGGUACUCGAGUGGCGAACGGGUGAGUAACACGUGAGUGAUCUGCCCCCAACUUGGGUAUAAGCCUGGGAAACUGGGUCUAAUUCCCGAUAGGACUGCAGGGUGGUGCCUGUGGUGGAAAACGAUUUUCUAGUGGUUGGGGAUGAGCUCGCGGCCUAUCAGCUUGUUGGUGGGGUAAUGGCCUACCAAGGCGGCGACGGGUAGCCGGCCUGAGAGGGUGGACGGCCACAUAGGGACUGAGAUACGGCCCAGACUCCUACGGGAGGCAGCAGUGGGGAAUAGUGCACAAUGGGCGGAAGCCUGAUGCAGCGACGCCGCGUGGGGGAUGACGGCCUUCGGGUUGUAACCUCCUUUCGACCGCGAGGAAGCCACCUGGUUGGAAGGGUGGUGACGGUAGUGGUAGAAGAAGCACCGGCUAACUACGUG
rnacentral:rRNA from 1 species